AGAGAAUCACCGCCUCUCUGGAUCCAUCAAAACCCGCAACGGUCGAAACCCCCUUUUCUUCUCUCUCAAGUCUCGACAAUCUCCUCAAACCCCUUUUAUCUCCAUCGUUCUCUUCUCCCGCCCUCCCCAUUCGAACAAACGAUCUCCUACAGUCCUACGCAGAACACGACAUGGACGACGACGAUGACCACCACCUCCAGCAACCAGACAAGUCAAUACCAAACCCUAGUUCCACCGCCUCCUCUCCACUCCGCACCCUCCCUUCCAAAUCGGCCGCCCCCAAAGUCCCUCACAACCGCCGCCGGCGCCGCCAACCGAGCCCUAACCAAGCCCCUCGAGCCCACCCAACACCUCGUCAAACCCCUUAUCUCCAUCGUUCCUGUCUGUGAAUCCAACGACACUAAGAUUGAGCCGGCGGCAUUUGUUUCGGAUUUGAAUUCGUCUCCUGUAACCGAAGAUGUUUUCUAGGGUUUUGUCGCCAACCACCAUCGUGGGGAAGUGCACCGCGCGCCACCACCCUUCUUCCCAAGCACCGCACACCACCACCGCCGAACCUAACUAGGAGUAUUCGAUCGCUUCUACUACGGACAACGAGUUCGGGAAUAUUGAUUGUUGAUUUGAUUCAGCCAAGCUUGGCUCCCCGAUGAUGUACUCUUUUAUUCACUGUGGGCAUGCAGCAGCUUCAAAUGAGUUUUGAUUUAAUGCCGCCCAUGCAUGGAUUCUCAUGCUAUAAAUCUUCUUAAAGAUCAAGUUUGCAUAUUUGUUGAGAUAAAGCCAAAAUGUGGGUUUCUUCCAUUUUCAAUAUAUAUAUGAGGCAAAUGUCGUUAAAAAGAGAAUAGCCUGCUUCAGAAUGCACC